rnacentral:rRNA from 1 species
AUGAACGCUGGCGGCGUGCCUAAUACAUGCAAGUCGAGCGAACAGACGAGGAGCUUGCUCCUCUGACGUUAGCGGCGGACGGGUGAGUAACACGUGGAUAACCUACCUAUAAGACUGGGAUAACUUCGGGAAACCGGAGCUAAUACCGGAUAAUAUAUUGAACCGCAUGGUUCAAUAGUGAAAGACGGUUUUGCUGUCACUUAUAGAUGGAUCCGCGCCGCAUUAGUUAGUUGGUAAGGUAACGGCUUACCAAGGCAACGAUGCGUAGCCGACCUGAGAGGGUGAUCGGCCACACUGGAACUGAGACACGGUCCAGACUCCUACGGGAGGCAGCAGUAGGGAAUCUUCCGCAAUGGGCGAAAGCCUGACGGAGCAACGCCGCGUGAGUGAUGAAGGUCUUCGGAUCGUAAAACUCUGUUAUUAGGGAAGAACAAAUGUGUAAGUAACUAUGCACGUCUUGACGGUACCUAAUCAGAAAGCCACGGCUAACUACGUG